ACGCUCGACACCUACGAGAGGCAGCAGUGAGGGAUAUUGGUCAAUGGGGGAAACCCUGAACCAGCAACGCCGCGUGAGGGAUGACGGUCUUCGGAUUGUAAACCUCUGUCCUCUGUGAAGAUAAUGACGGUAGCAGAGGAGGAAGCUCCGGCUAACUACGUGCCAGCAGCCGCGGUAAUCUGAGCGGGCUGGCAAGGC
rnacentral:rRNA from 1 species